rnacentral:tRNA from 1 species
GGGGAUGUAGCUCAGCUGGGAGAGCGCCGCCCUCGCACGGCGGAGGCCAGCGGUUCGAUCCCGCUCAUCUCCACCA